AGAUUGAAAUUGAAAACAAAAUUGAAUCAAUCGGUAUUUCGGUGUGGAUACUAGUAAAGUUUAACUUUUACUGGUCUACACGGAGAUUUACAAUAUAAGGUAAAAUGCUUUGGCCGUAAAUCUUUUGUAUUGAAGACUUGAAAUGCUUGUCAGGUGAGUCAUAUAUAUAAUAAAUACUAUUAGUUUAAUUUCAGGGACCAAUUAUGAAUAAAACUUAUGAACUAAGUGAAACUAAGUAACUCAGUUUUAUAGUUGAAAUGUUUAAUGUUUUAAUACUGUUAUAGAAGUGAAUUAAAGAUAUAAAUUGUAACAGUUAGAGUUGUAAUUACGAGUUAUAAAAUAAGAUAUUUAAAAAAAAAUACGUACUAUAUUUUUCAAAUGAAAAAUAUCAUGAUUGAUUACAUUUUUUCAACUGAGAAACCUUAUCGUUUA